GGCGUUGGCUUGCUGCAGUCCGUUGGCAGAAUAGGAAGGAACGUGGUUGGUGAACCGGACGGUGGUCUCCUGGGCUUGCUCAGUUCACUAUUCAGCGGCUUUAAUGUCAGCUUAGACCUUACAAGAAAUGUUUUGCUGGCUGUGCUUGGGACCAAGGAUAUCCUUCUCGGUACGCCUUCAAAGGAUGCGCUGACGACCAAUCCUUAGGCCAACACGAACAAGUACGAAGGAGGAAGCUGCUGAGAGAUCGCUGGAUCACGCCUAUACGGUGAAAACGAUCAUGUGUACACGCCAGCCAAGAACGUGUCCUCCGGGCUCUGUGUGGUGUCCUUAGACUUUCGGAGUGGACUGAAAUGGAAAAACUGUAUUGAAGUCCUGGACACCUAUAAUAAUAUAUGAGAAUCCACAUAACUUAAAUGAAACAUUUUAAAGAAUACAAAAACUCAGAAGCUUCGGUAUUUUGGUAGCUAUCAUCGCCGAAGAAAGUCGCACAGACAAGGACACAAUGUAAUAGAGAUGUGUGAAUAAAACGACGCAUUUUCAAAUUCUU